UACGAAGGGAGCUAGCGUUGUUCGGAAUUACUGGGCGUAAAGGGCGCGUAGGCGGCCUUGUAAGUUAGAUGUGAAAGCCCCGGGCUUAACCUGGGAACUGCAUUUAAGACUGCAAAGCUUGAGGACGAGAGAGGAAAGUGGAAUUGUGAGUGUAGAGGUGAAAUUCGUAGAUAUUCACAAGAACACCAGUGGCGAAGGCGACUUUCUGGCUCGUAUCUGACGCUAAGGCGCGAAAGCGUGGGGAG
rnacentral:rRNA from 1 species